GCCACGGUGGUCUAGCGGUUGGAACGCUGGCCUUGUAAUCCUGGGGUCUCGGGUUCGAUUCCCGGCGGUGCCC
rfam:Zootermopsis nevadensis contig4064, whole genome shotgun sequence.